rnacentral:rRNA from 1 species
UGCAAGUCGAGCGGUAGAGAGGUGCUUGCACCUCUUGAGAGCGGCGGACGGGUGAGUAAUGCCUAGGAAUCUGCCUGGUAGUGGGGGAUAACGUUCGGAAACGAACGCUAAUACCGCAUACGUCCUACGGGAGAAAGCAGGGGACCUUCGGGCCUUGCGCUAUCAGAUGAGCCUAGGUCGGAUUAGCUAGUUGGUGAGGUAAUGGCUCACCAAGGCGACGAUCCGUAACUGGUCUGAGAGGAUGAUCAGUCACACUGGAACUGAGACACGGUCCAGACUCCUACGGGAGGCAGCAGUGGGGAAUAUUGGACAAUGGGCGAAAGCCUGAUCCAGCCAUGCCGCGUGUGUGAAGAAGGUCUUCGGAUUGUAAAGCACUUUAAGUUGGGAGGAAGGGUUGUAGAUUAAUACUCUGCAAUUUUGACGUUACCGACAGAAUAAGCACCGGCUAACUCUGUGCCAGCAGCCGCGGUAAUACAGAGGGUGCAAGCGUUAAUCGGAAUUACUGGGCGUAAAGCGCGCGUAGGUGGUUCGUUAAGUUGGAUGUGAAAGCCCCGGGCUCAACCUGGGAACUGCAUUCAAAACUGUCGAGCUAGAGUAUGGUAGAGGGGUGGGGGGAAUUUUCUGGGGUAGCGGUGAAAUGCGUAGAUAUAGGAAGGAACACCAGUGGCGAAGGCGACCACCUGGGACUGAUACUGACACUGAGGUGCGAAAGCGUGGGGAGCAAACAGGAUUAGAUACCCUGGUAGUCCACGCCGUAGACGAUGUCAACUAGCCGUUGGGAGCCUUGAGCUCUUAGUGGCGCAGCUAACGCAUUAAGUUGACCGCCUGGUGGAGUACGGCCGCAAGGUUAAAACUCAAAUGAAUUUGACGGGGGCCCGCACAA